CCGGGCACUCUGGAUGGACUGCCGGCGACAGCCGGAGGAAGGUGGGAUGACGUCAAGUCAUCAUGGCCCUUAUGUCCAGGGCGACACACGUGCUACAAUGGCCGGCACAGCGGGAAGCGAGGGGCGACCUUGAGCGGAUACCCUCAAAGCCGGUCUCAGUUCGGAUUGCAGUCUGCAACUCGACUGCAUGAAGUUGGAAUCGCUAGUAAUCGUGGAUCAGCCAAGCCGCGGUGAAUACGUUCCCGGGCCUU
rnacentral:rRNA from 1 species